rnacentral:pre_miRNA from 1 species
AAAAAAAUAAAUUCUAGAUUUUCGUGUCCAACGUUUAACUGUCCGUCUUAUAUGAAAAAUUUUUAUAAUUAGUAUUUUCAUUGUUGUUAUAUGAUAAAAUAUGAUUAAUACUUUAUGCGUAACUUGUCUUUUUAAUUUUUUUCAUAAUUUUUUCAAAUAAUAUUGUCGGUGAUAUGGGACCGGGAGUAUCAUGACU